GAUGAACGCUGGCGGCGUGCCUAAUACAUGCAAGUCGAGCGAACAGACGAGGAGCUUGCUCCUCUGACGUUAGCGGCGGACGGGUGAGUAACACGUGGAUAACCUACCUAUAAUACUGGGAUAACUUCGGGAAACCGGAGCUAAUACCGGAUAAUAUAUUGAACCGCAUGGUUCAAUAGUGAAAGACGGUUUUGCUGUUACUUAUGGAUUGAUUCGCGCCGCCUUAGCUAGUUGGUAAGGUAACGGCUUACCAAGGCGACGAAGCGUAGCCGACCUGAGAGGGGGAUCGGCCACACUGGAACUGAGACACGGUCCAGACUCCUACGGGAGGCAGCAGUAGGGAAUCUUCCGCAAUGGGCGAAAGCCUGACGGAGCAACGCCGCGUGAGUGAUGAAGGUCUUCGGAUCGUAAAACUCUGUUAUUAGGGAAGAACAAAUGUGUAAGUAACUAUGCACGUCUUGACGGUACCUAAUCAGAAAGCCACGGCUAACUACGUG
rnacentral:rRNA from 1 species